GGGUCGAAACUGACAAUUUGCCAACUGAAGCUUACAUGAUCUUAUCAAUAAACCCAGGAGUUCAGAUAAUGGCUUGUUCUGAUUGUAUAUUAGACCUUAAUACUUUUAAUGCUAUAAAUUGUUAUAUUUCUCCCUGAAAUUCAGUUGAGUUUGACAAUGAACAAUUCAUGUAAUUUUUUCACAUUAAAAUCUGUAAAUGGCAAGGGUAAAUUUAAUUUGGUGAGGUAGACAAAUUUCUAAGAAUAAACUAGAGGCUCUAAAGAGCCUGUGUCGCUCACCUUGGUCUAUGUGAAUACUAAACAAAGGACACAGAUGGAUUCAAGACAAAAUUGUGGUUUGGUGAUGGUGAUGUGUUUGUAGAUAUUACUUUACUGAACAUUCUUGCUGCUUACAAUUAUCUUUAUCUAUAAUGAACUUGACCCAGUAGUUACAGU
rnacentral:lncRNA from 1 species